UGAAUACGAGAUGCUACGGCGUCGAAGCAGCCUAUGUCAUACUUCCAAGAAAAGCUUGCACUGUCAUAAACAAAUAAUGCCUGUACCAUAACCGACACAGGUGGGUAGGUAGAGUAUACUAAGGGGCGCGAGAUAACUCUCUCUAAGGAACUCGGCAAAAUGACUCCGUAACUUCGGGAGAAGGAGUGCCUUAUUUAUAAGGUUGCAAUAACAAGAUCCAAGCAACUGUUUACCAAAAACACAGGUCUCCGCUAAGUCGUAAGACGAUGUAUGGGGGCUGACGCCUGCCCAGUGCCAGAAGGUUAAAGAAGUUGGUUAGCAUCCGCGAAGCUGAUAACUGAAGCCCUGGUGAACGGCGGCCGUAACAAUAACGGUCCUAAGGUAGCGGAAUUCCUUGUCGGGUAAGUUCCGACCCGCACGAAAGGCGUAAUGAUUUGGAUACUGUCUCGGAGAGGGGCUCGGUGAAAUAGACUUGUCUGUGAAGAUGCGGACUACCUGCACCAGGACAGAAAGACCCUAUGAAGCUUUACUGUAACCUGAAAUUGAAAUUGGACUUUACUUGCGCAGUAUAGGUGGGAGGCGUUGAGAAUAUUCUUGCGGGAUUAUUGGAGCCAUCAGUGAGAUACCACUCUUGUAAUGUUAGAUUUCUAACUUUGUAUCAUUAUCUGGUCAAAGAACAGUUUCAGGCGGGCAGUUUGACUGGGGCGGUCGCCUCCUAAACGGUAACGGAGGCGCACAAAGGUUUCCUCUGAACGGGUAGAAAUCGUAUCUAGAGUGUAAAGGCAUAAGGAAGCUUGACUGUGAGACCUACAAGUCGAGCAGGGACGAAAGUCGGUCUUAGUGAUCUGACGGUGCUGAGUGGAAAGGCCGUCACUCAACGGAUAAAAGUUACUCUAGGAUAACAGGCUGAUCUCCCCCAAGAGUUCACAUCGACGGGGAGGUUUGGCACCUCGAUGUCGGCUCAUCGCAUCCUGGGGCGGUAGUACGUCCCAAGGGUUGGGCUGUUCGCCCAUGAAAGCGGUACGCGAGCUGGGUUCAGAACGUCGUGAGACAGUUCGGUCCAUAUCCGGUGUAGGCGUUAGAAUAUUGAGAGGAGCCUUCUUUAGUACGAGAGGACCGAGAAGGACAUACCUCUGGUGUACCAGUUAUCGUGCCAACGGUAAACGCUGGGUAGCUAUGUGUGGAGUGGAUAACCGCUGAAAGCAUCUAAGUGGGAAGCCCACCUCAAGAUAAG
rnacentral:rRNA from 1 species